GUGGUGCAUGGUUGUCGUCAGCUCGUGUCGUGAGAAGUUGGGUUAAGUCCCGCAACGAGCGCAACCCUUGUCUUUAGUUGCCAUCAUUAAGUUGGGCACUCUAGAGAGACUGCCAGGGAUAACCUGGCGGAAGGUGGGGAUGACGUCAAAUCAUCAUGCCCCUUAUGCUUAGGGCUCCACACGUGCUACAAUGGGUAGUACAGAGGGUUGCAAAGCCGUAAGGUGGAGCUAAACCCUUAAAGCUACUCUCCGUUCGGAUUGUAGGCUGAAACUCGCCUACAUGAAGCUGGAGUUACUAGUAAUCGCAGAUCAGAAUGCUGCGG
rnacentral:rRNA from 1 species